GGAUGAGGUAGAGGUCGCGAUUUUCAUAAGUAGGUUAUAGGAGACGCAGGGUAGGUCAAUGACUAUAACAGAAAGGGAAAAUCGCCGAAGUUUCUUCCGGUUACUCUGGCCGAAGGGACUGGGGCUGUAUCCGAAUAGGAACAGAACUGUCACGUUUGUCACCCGGCAAACGUGGGGAGCUAUCUUCAUG
rnacentral:ncRNA from 2 species